UACUGAAUAGUAAUGAGAAGUUAGGUUGAAAGGACAGUGCCACAAUGAUGACAUCAUAUUUGCUACUCUUGACAGCUGGGGUGACGAUAGCUUUAAACCACCAUGAUUAUAACUGAGGCACACAAAAUAAUGAUUUGGGGGCUACUUACAGAGUAAGCAGUUUUUACAUAAAGAUUCCCCCCCCCCAGGACUCGUCAGGAAGCUGGAUAACAGAGCGAGCGCAAUGUAAGCAAUUUUGUGUGUGCAUGUGGUCCCAUUACAAGGAAUACCCAAUGGCAAAUGAGCACUAAAGAUCCCUCAACCCACACAUUGAAUGUAUUGUUCCCUGAGAGCAAUUGUAGAUAGAGGAGUGGGUGGGAAGUCUGAAGUCAGGGCAUUGUUUCUGCGUAUCUGAGGAGGCUGGUUUUUGAUAUGUGGGAGCUAGUGGUCGUUAACGCAUUUACCCCCUAUUUGGUGGACUCUGGUUCCCCCAUCUUAAGUGCUGAGUCAGGGGCCUAACCGGGCAGCUUUAACUAUUUGUUUGUUGUAGGUGCUAGAAUAGAAGACCAGAAAAUGAAAUGGUGGAGUUUGAGGCUGGAUAGACAGUUUGAAAGGUAAGUAUUGAAAAACACUUGAAUUUGGGUCAGUAC
ensembl:processed_transcript Gas5 growth arrest specific 5